CCUACGGGAGGCAGCAGUGGGGAAUAUUGCACAAUGGGCGAAAGCCUGAUGCAGCGACGCCGCGUGGAGGAUGAAGGCUUUCGGGUCGUAAACUCCUGUCUGGGGGGAUGAAUUUUUGACAGUACCCCCGGAGGAAGCCCCGGCUAACUACGUGCCAGCAGCCGCGGUAAU
rnacentral:rRNA from 1 species